rnacentral:lncRNA from 1 species
CUAUUUCCCAAUCUCCUCUUCCUAGCUUAAGAGAAAACAUCAGUGCAGAAAUACCUCUUCCUCCAGAGUGGUUGAAUCAAUGCUGCUCCAUUAGCCAGCCAAAAAGUAAUGAUCUGCUAGCUACCUGGGUGACAUGCAUUACCCGUACAGAUAAAAAAGGUAGGAAUGAAAAAGGAUUUAGAUGCUGCAGGGCUGAGUAUUUUAGGGGUUUACCCCAUGUGUUUCCCUAUCCAGAUCUGAUCUGAGUCCUGUGCAGUGCCUAGGAAGAGCAAGACAUGGAGAGUUGGAUUCACCAAAUCAAACAAGGUUCAGUCACGCUGCCCCACCCAUGCGGAGAAUGAAGGCGAUAACGUGGCUGUUUUCCACUCCGCCUGUCUGCGUGGUUCCAUGGUGACCUCUGAGCAGACAGCGGCACAAAGACACCCCGCGGCUCGAUGCGAGAGGUGGGCACAGCCAGCAGCACAGGGCACUGUUCUACCGUGGCUUUGUCCAGGGAAAAGAGCUACCCUGAUCCAAGCAGCUCAGGAAGCCAAGCUGCAGCAACCAAAGCCACCUAAGGAAUGGUCUGGUGGCUGUUUAAAACCAAGUCAAAAAAAGAAAUCUGGCUGAGAACUUGGCACCCGAAAUAAUUCUUUCCACCAACAUAGUGUAAGAGCAAAGGAUCUCCCAGAGCUUAUGGCUCUGCCAAAAGUGGGAUUUGUGUGCAGCAUCCCUGCAUCUGCUAGCUUGCCCUUUCACAAGUCAGUCAGUGGCCAGAAGCUCCUGUUGGGCGUGAAGUAUAUUGUUCACUCACAGGCUCUCAGUAUUUGUUUUGUUACAUAAACAGAGACAGACCCAAACGUAUUUUUUUUUCUUAAAACAUGCUACUGUACUUUACAGUUUACUCUUAAAAAUGCUAGAUAUGGUCAGUGUCAUGGUAAAGGCUGUGGGAAGUUCAGCCUAAGAUACAUUCCCUGAAUUACAACAGCUAAAGCUACUCUCCUGGCAAUAUCCCACGCACUAGGCUUGUGUUAUCUGACUGCAAGGCACCUGUUUGGUAUCACCUGUCUCUAAGCUAGAGUAAUUAAGGAAAUGGAGAACCUAACAUUCAAAAGCACAAUGCCACUGACAUUCAUCUGUCACCUAACCUGAUCCCCAUGGUCACAUGCAUUUCUUUUUGCAGUUGUGCAGGACUACUUGUGCCCAGAAAACAAGAAGUUAGGGUGAUGGGGCUCCAGCCACUCUCAGAGAGCAUGUACAGUAUACUCAUGGAUAUGGAGGGCACAUGCCCAAAUCCCUUCUCCUCAUGGCACAACACAAACAUCUCUAGCAGCGCAUUUCCCUAACCCCCAGGCUACAAGAUACUUGGGAUAAGGGUUUUCCAGGAGCAGGGAAGGGCACCCAGUCUCCCCACAUCUAGCUGGAUCUCACACCAGUCCCUUGGAUCCACGGAGGAAAGGAACAGCAACAAGGCUUUAUUCCAAGUGCUUGGCUGGGUCAGCACCAGAGACCCCACAGGCUCCAUCCCUCAUGAUCUGGCUCAUUGUUCCCUAAAUUAAUUGAUGCUGGUCCUUCUCUCUUGGUGGGUCAGGUAAUAGCUGGGCUCUGCUUGCCUGAGUCACAGCCACUC